UUAUAAUCUUAUGUAGACUAAUUCAAUUUGCCUGAGAUUUUUCAUGUCUGUCCGUUUUCAAUUUUUGCAGUCUAUAAAAGACUAGAGACCAUUAUCUAUUGCAAGUCUACUACCUUGGUCUUUAUACAUCGGGAAAGCUGCAACAAAUGUUCCCUUCUUGGCCUAUGAAGUUCCAUCACACCCCAAGAGUAUAGGAAAGUUGAAAAUCAUGAGAAGAGAGUACUGAAAUAGUGAAUGCACUUUCAAGUAGUGGUGAGGGCAGUAGAUUGGAGCCAGAGUCUCCCAUGAGAUAAAAGGCUUUUCUUCUUCAAAUCAUCAUCAGGUGAUCGAUCAGAAGCAUAAAUGAGUAUUGAACUAAUGAUCAUCCAAUACUUCUACGUGCUCUUGCAGUAAUUAGUUUGCAGAAUAUA